UGGGGGAGGAAGGGCCGAGGCGGGCCGCUGGCUGCCAGCCCAGGGCGGGGCGGAGCCCUACUUCUGGCCGCCCGCGUAGGCGGUGCUUGAACUUCGGGCUGCUUGUGGCUGGGCACUCGCGCAGAGGCCGGCCCGACGAGCCAUGGUUGCUGGGAGCGACGCGGGGCGGGCCCUGGGGGUCCUCGGCGUGGUCUGCCUGCUGCACUGCUUUGGUUUCAUCAGCUGUUUCUCCCAACAAAUAUAUGGCGUUAUGUAUGAGAAUGUAACUUUCCAUGUACCAAGCAAUGUGCCUUCAAAAGAGCUCCUAUGGAAAAAACAAAAGGAUAAAGUUGCAGAACUGGAAAAUUCUGAAUUCAGAGCUUUCUCAUCUUUUAAAAAUAGGGUUUAUUUAGACACUGUGUCAGGUAGCCUCACUAUCUACAACUUAACAUCAUCAGAUGAAGAUGAGUAUGAAAUGGAAUCGCCAAAUAUUACUGAUACCAUGAAGUUCUUUCUUUAUGUGCUUGAGCCUUUUCCAUCUCCUACACUAACUUGUGCGUUGACUAAUGGAAGCAUUGAAGUCCAAUGCAUGAUACCGGAGCAUUACAACAGCCAUCGAGAACUUAAAACGUACUCAUGGGAUUGUCCUAUGGAGCAAUGUAAACAUAACUCAACCAAUAUAUAUUUUAAGAUGGAAAAUGAUCUUCCACAAAAAAUACAGUGUACUGCUAGCAAUCCAUUAUUUAAAACAACAUCAUCAAUCAAUUUGGCAACCUGUAUCCCAAGCAGUGGUCAUUCAAGACACAGAUAUGCACUUAUACCCGUACCAUUAGCAGUAAUUAUAACAUGUGUUAUGCUGUAUAUGAAUGAGUCUCGCUAUGUUGCUCAGGCUGGUCUUGAACUCCUGGACUCAAGUGAUCUGACCACCUCAGCCUCCCAAAGUGCCGGAAUUACCACUGAGCAUUUACUAUGUUCCAGGCCCUGUGCUAAGCGCAUUGCCUGCUGCGUCUCACCCUUCAGUAGGAGUAGCCUCAGCUGCUAAUCAUGGUGAAAUAAAUGUCACUGCAAGUUUAAGGAAGACUAUGCACUAUUACCACUGAGCAUUUACUAUGUUCCCGGCCCUGUGCUAAGCGCAUUGCCUGCUGCAUCUCACCCUUCAGUAGGAAUAGAUAAUCCUUACAGCAGCAGCUCUGCACAGUAUCAUUCUCUCCUGUACAAAUGAAGAGACGGAGGCUCGAAUUCUCACACGACACCCUUGCAGCACUUGAACCACUCCAGGAUUCUGUUCUGCUGGUCACCCAACUAUUCUCCCAGGUCACCGGGGUUACUUACAAUCUUGGAUUUAGGGUUGCCAGAUUUAGCAAAUAAAGAAUACAGUAUGCCUGGUUAAAUUUGAAUUUCGGGUAAACAGAUAAAAUUUUAGUAUGAGUAUGUCCCAUGCAAUAUUUGGGACAUACAUUCAAAAGACAAUUCACUCUCCUAUAUUCCAUCUGGCAAUCCUACUUGAAUUGAAUUUGCAGAGUUCUCCCUGUUCCAUUAGAAAUGAUCACACUUGGAAAUAUUGGAUGGUUCUAUCCCAUUUCCUGACAAGUGGUGCUCCCCGCACAUUCUCUAAAUCAGAGGCAUCAAGUAUUCACCAGGGUGUGUUUGAAAUAGCCCUAUGUGCAUUUUCCUUAAAAAUGAGAAUCUAUGCAUUUAUUUCGGCUUAAAUCUGUAAAUAUUUUAUUCGCUGCUGCUACUCAGUUAAAACCCCCAGUUUCAUCAUGUUCUGACUGGCAAAUGUUUGAAGUGUCUGAUUUUAAAACAGCUCUAGUUCUCUUUUAAUUAGAUAUUUAAUUUAACUGGCUGCUGAUCAAUAGUUUCAGGAUAUUUGUUUUCAACUUGAUGGGAAUGGCAAAGGACCAUUUGUGCAUAAAAUAGCCCACUAGUUAUCCUUGUUUUCAGUGACGCCUUUGCUCUUACUGUUAUUUCUUAAUGUCACAACUGUUGGCUCCCCAGCAAGUUAAAUAUCAGCCCUGGUAGAAGCUGAUCUGAUGAGUCCCCUUCUAUAUUGAAAAUGCUGGUAGAAACACUGAAGCCGGGAAAGCAGAGGAAUAAAGGAGGGCAGGGCAUUGAGGAAAUGAGGCCAAGGGUAGAGCGAUCAUACUUGAACCUGCCAAUCAUGAAGCAGGAAUCUGUGCUGCCUUGGGAAUGGAGAGGCUGGGGAGGAGUCUCGAGCCAGCCCUUUGGCUGUGGCCAGGGAUGGGUCAUGGGGAGUCUUAGCCCAGCUCAUUCCAACAUGAUACCCUCAUGAUCCCAGAUGCUCCCAUUUGCUUUCUUCACUGAAUAAAAAGAGAAAGGGAUUUCUAUAUCCAAUCCCCUACCAAACUGUGUACUUAGGUAGAGCAAAUCCAUUGCAUUCAUGAAGCUUCCAUCAGACCUGGGGAAAUUCUUAAAAUGGUAAAGACAUCUAUAGCAUAUAAUUUCAGUCAGAUCUCCUCUUCUCUUUACACGUUCUCAUGCCUCAAGUUCCCAUCCAUUCAGAUUUCACACAAUUUUCCAGACAAAUAUCUGUAGAAAUUCACAAACCACUUAUUCUGAGGUUUUGCAUAGAGCUUAUGGUAGACGUGAUCAUGGCACAGAUCUGGGUCACUGCCAAUCCCAUGUUCUACUCUUCUUCAACUUGUUUAAGACUCCUAUUUUGAAGAAUGAAUGACCAUUUUUGUAUACCUCUUUGCUUCCAUCAUCAGCACCAGCAGUUACCAUUCUUGUGGCAUCCAUUUUCCAUAAAGAAACACGAGUUUUUGUCAUUCACAGGUAUCUACAUGAAAAGCAGCAAACAGAGGGUAAUAAAGCUGUGACGUGAUGCAGAUGCGUCGCAGCUGGCUCAGCCCAUUCACUGACAACAAGAUCAGUGCUCAGAAACCAGAUUCUGAAUCCAACACAUGACUCAGAUUUAUGCCUCUGGAAAAUUAGAAAUCAUGAUCAGUUAUAGGUCUUUAGACAAACCAACUAAUAUUAAAUGCAGGAGUUCAAAAGAUCGUGUACGUGGAAUCACUUUGUAUCAUCCUGUAUCCCUGACUUGACUAGAACCGGCCAUUUACCAAAGAAGCUUGUUCCCAGGCAUUUUUCCAGUGUUACACAGUGAAAAGGUAGGUGAGUUGAAGCUGUGAUAAAAUGGUAAUGCUAAUCCUACUAUCAUUGCCUAGUACCUGUUGCAUACCAAGUGCUUUACAUCAGAUUUUGCAUCGUGGUUAGGGCUGAGCAUCCUGGGUUUGAAUCCUGGCUCUGCCACUCCCUAGCUGAAUGACCUCGGAAAAUUUACUUCAUCUCUCUGUGACUCAGUUUCCUCAUCUAUAAAAUAAGGACAUGAAUAGUGUCUACCUCACAGGGUCAUUACGAGGAUCAAAGGAGCUAGUAUUUGUGAAGUGUGUAAAUCAGAGCCUGGUAUGUAGUAAGCACUAAGUGUCAGGAUUUCAUAUAUAUAUAUCUCUCUCAUAUAUAUAAUAAAUAUAUAUACACACAUAUACAUUCAAAUAUACACCCAUACUUAUAUUUAUAUUUAUUUAUAUUGCUAUGUAUGUGUAUUUGAAUGUAUAUAUGUGUGGAUAUAGUCACAUACAUGUAUGUGUGUGUACAUGUGUGAGUGAAAAUUUAUGUGUUUGGUUUCUGGUUCACAGCCAGUUCAGCUGUCAAGGGUGAGACUCUUUGGGUGGGUUGCCUAUAGAGAAAAGGCAAGAGAGACUUAACAGGACAUCUCUCUUGCAGAGGCUCUUAGCAACUCUGCAUUACUUUCUCCUCUUUCCCCAAGCAGAUGGUAAUCAUAGGGACCCACAAGCCAAGUUAGAUCUUCAGUGGAGUAAGUGAUCUUUAGCAACUGUGUCACACUUGGCUAAAGUUUAUUAUUCAUUGAGGGCAAUCAGCAGAACCUGGGCCAGGGCAGUCACCCAGAAGUUUAUAGGUCAGAUUCCCUGGGUCUGUUUGAGGCUAGAUGUCUCUGAGUCUCUGAAAUGCAACCAUUUCUAAUGUGGAACAGAGAGAAAGACACAAGCAGGGUGGAAAGGUGAAUGCUGAGGAACUAGGAGGCCAAAGGGAGCCCCUUGCCCUGAAAGCGGUCUGGCAGGUGUGAUGACAGAGGCAGGGAGCCACUGCCAUCACUGACACGCAGGGGUUUCACUGUAGAGAUGAUUCCGGAUUGGCCCCUGAUCUUAAAGCCUCUGGGUCUGAAGGUCCAGGACUCUGCUCUGUGCAGCGGUCAGGAAGCCCAUCUCUCCAGGCUUGGCUUCUUCAGGGGCCAGUGCUCUGCCUCUACCUUGUAGGGUGGGGACCUGGCAUUCAACAUCUCGGUGCACGGGUGUCUUCUGAAAAAGACCUGGAGGGCAGGCUCUUUCUGCCUCUUCUGGGAGGAGCAUAAGGGGGAGUUGCACUGUAGGAGUGGAGAUGCUGUCCUUCACUGCUAGAGAAUAAAGCAAGGAGUUUUGUGGGUUGAGCUAAGAUCAUUUAAGAAGCCCCAAAGGCUAGAAUUUGGGGAUUUUCCAAGUCAAAGGAGCCAGAUGCAGAUAAAGGAUCCUGGGUACAGAAGCAAGAAUCUGAGAACUGGGAGAGAAAAGCAAACACCAAGUGGAUUGACAGUUAAAAGAGGGUUUGCUCUUCUAGACUGGGAUGGCUCCUGGGUAGGGCAGCUGAGCUCUCCAUGAAGAGCUUAAGGACACAGAGAGCCAGCAAUCAAUCUCCUGAGAUCAACACAUCCGCUCCCAUGCUUCACUCUUCUAUCCACAUGGCCAAGCCAUUGAAAGGAAAUGAUGUAUCUGAGCUUUAGAUCUCAACUGUAGCUACUAGAACCCUCAAGACAGGUCUGGAUCCCCUAAAGUCACAAUAGUGACUGAAGGAAUGAGGAUUUUUUUUUUUUCACUGACUUCUCCAGGCUACUUCAAAUGUGGUCAUACCUUAGAGUUAACCCUAUUUCCCUCGAGUUUCUCCUUACUGUUAGGCCCGGUCCCGGGGCCCUCAUCUGUCCUGGUUUCCUUCCUUUUUGUCUUAUGAUCUCUUUGUAGACUCACCCUCUUUUUUGAUAAAUCACACACUUAUUUUAAACUCACUGUUGCAUUAAUCCUUAAAGCAAGUGUACCUUUUAAAUGACCGUUGGCAUAAACCUUUUUAAAAAAUUUUAUUUUUUUUAAUUUUAUUUUUUGUGGCCGAGUGUGGUGGCUCAUGCCUGUAAUCCCACCACUUUGGGAGGCCGAGGAGGGUGGAUCACUUGAGGUCAGGAGUUCAAGACCAGCCUGGCCAAUAUGGUGAAACCCUGUCUCUAGUAAAAAAUUCAAAAAUUAGCCAGACAUGGUGGUGCAUGCCAACAGUUUCAGCUACUCAGGAGCCUAAGGCAGGAGAAUCUCUUGAACUCAGGAGGCAGAGGUUGCAGUGAGCCGAGAUCACACCACUGCACUGCAGCCUGGGUGACAGAGCAAGACUCCAUCUCCAAAAAAAAAAAUAAAA